UACGUAGGGGGCGAGCGUUGUCCGGAGUACUGGGCGUAAAGCGCAUACGGCAGGCGGUCUGCUAAGUUUGGACGUGACAGUUGGAUGGCGUUAACUGCCAAAGUGCCUUACGAAAACUGACAGACUUGAGGGCUUCAGAGGGACACGGAAUUCCGGGUGGAGUGGAUGAAAUGCGUAGAGAUCCGGAGGAACACCAAAGGCGAAGGCAGUGUCCUGGGGAGUACCUGACGCUCAGGUGCGAAAGCGUGGGGAGCAAACAGG
rnacentral:rRNA from 1 species